rnacentral:rRNA from 1 species
UACGUAGGGGGCAAGCGUUGUUCGGAAUUACUGGGCGUAAAGGGCGCGUAGGCGGUCAGCACAAGUCAGUUUUGAAAUCUCCGGGCUUAACUCGGAAAGGUCAACUGAUACUGUGCGACUAGAGUGCGGAAGGGGCAACUGGAAUUCUCGGUGUAGCGGUGAAAUGCGUAGAUAUCGAGAGGAACACCUGCGGCGAAGGCGGGUUGCUGGGCCGACACUGACGCUGAUGCGCGAAAGCCAGGGGAGCGAACGGG